rnacentral:rRNA from 1 species
AACUCGACUCCACUGAAGCUGGAUUCGCUAGUAAUCGCGCAUCAGCCAUGGCGCGGUGAAUACGUUCCCGGGCCUUGUACACACCGCCCGUCAAGCCAUGGGAGUCGGGAGUGCCUGAAGUUCGUGACCGUCACAGGAGCGACCUAAGGCAAGACCGAUGACUGGGGCUAAGUCGUAACAAGGUAGC